rnacentral:tRNA from 1 species
ACCUGGCUGGCUCAGUCAGAAGAGCAUGAGAUUCUUGAUCUCGGGAUCGUGAGUUCAAGCCCCAGGUUGGGUA